AGGAUUUAAAUGGCCGCAGUAUUUUGACUGUGCAAAGGUAGCAUAAUUAUUAGUUUUUUAAUUGAAAGCUUGUAUGAAGGGUUGGACGAGAUAAAAUCUGUCUCUAUUUAAAUUAAAUUAGAAUUUAACUUUUAAGUCAAAAGGCUUAAAUAUAACUAAAAGACGAGAAGACCCUAUAGAUCUUUAUUUAGUUAGAAUUUUAAUAAUUUAGGAUUAUUUUAAUUUAAAUUUUUAAUUAAAUUUUAUUGGGGUAAUAUAAAGAUUAAACUAAUUCUUUUUAUUAGUUACAUUAAUUUAUGAUAAUAUGAUCCAGUACUACUGAUUAUAAGAUUAAGUUACCUUAGGGAUAACAGCGUAAUUUUUUUGGAGAGCUCAUAUCGAUAAAAAAGUUUGCGACCUCGAUGUUGGAUUAAAAAUUAGCUUGGGUGCAGAAGCUCAAGAUUUUGGUYUGUUNGACCAUUAAUNUUUUACANGAUCUGAGUUCAGACCGGCGUAAGCCAGGUCGGUUUCUAUCUUUAUUUAAUUAAAAUAUUUUAGUACGAAAGGACCAAAUAUUUAAUAUAUAAAUAUUUAUUUUUUGAAUGAUAUU
rnacentral:rRNA from 1 species